AGAAGACAAAGAGAGAAGAAAACUGGAGCUAUGCUUACUCCCAGCAGGGGGUUACCGCUGGUGGCAAACCUUUGAUGAUCUUCAGAUCAACUUCCAGACGGACCAGACACACAUGGAAAUUCCGGCACACACAGUUUCUGAUGGUAGCCCUGCCCAUCACAUGUCAACAAACAGAACAGGCCCCCUCACGCAUAUCGGCCCACUGGGAAUCUUCCCUGUGAGUACUAUGGCCAAUCCACCUCUGCACACUUUAUAUACUGUAACAUGAAUUAAGAAUAUGAAGGAGAAACCAAGCAGCAGAUGAGUACACUAAGGCUGCCUUCAUGUGAAAUCAUCAGAGGUCAAUCCAGCAGCAGAUGUGUUUGUUAGGAGGUGUCUGUAAUAUGCAGUCACAUCAUUAUACAUAUCUUUAUGUACAAUGGGGGUCAUUCCGAGUUGAUCGCACGCUGACGAUUUUUGCUGCGCUGUGAUCAGGUCUCUACUGCGCAUGUGCAUCAUACGGGUGCAAUGCAGAU